rnacentral:rRNA from 1 species
AUGAACGCUGGCGGCGUGCCUAACACAUGCAAGUCGAACGGAGUCCAGCCUUUAAGACCUUCGGGUCAAAGAGGGGAAGACUGAGUGGCGGACGGGUGAGUAACACGUGGGCAACCUGGCUCGUAGAGGGGGAUAACAGAGAGAAAUUUCUGCUAAUACCGCAUAAGCACACACUGCCGCAUGGCAGAGGGUGAAAAGAGAAUCGCUAUGAGAUGGACCCGCGUCUGAUUAGCCAGUUGGCAGGGUAAGAGCCUACCAAAGCGACGAUCAGUAGCCGAUCUGAGAGGAUGAACGGCCACAUUGGGACUGAGACACGGCCCAAACUCCUACGGGAGGCAGCAGUGGGGGAUAUUGCACAAUGGGGGGAACCCUGAUGCAGCGACGCCGCGUGAGUGAAGAAGUAUUUCGGUAUGUAAAGCUCUAUCAGCAGGGAAGAUAAUGACAGUACCUGAAUAAGAAGCCCCGGCUAACUACGUG